rnacentral:lncRNA from 1 species
CCGACUUUUUCCCCUCACAUCAGCUAGCUACUUGUGUUUUAUGCGCAGAUAAUUUCGACAUUCCGUGCUACUUACGUCGAUUACUUACAUUCCGAAACCAAAAACCGAGCGGGGUUCGGAUAGACAAUAUAAUUUCUCGGGAAUUGGUUUUGCUCUCAGAAUUAUUAACGUCAGUGCUAAUUUUUGUGCGACUUCGAGCGAAAUGCUCCGCGCAAGUUGUCAGUAAACACCGUUGUUGAGUGCUUGUUAUCUCGUCCAUUUUUAGCUCUGAAACUCUGUUCGAUUUGAAAUAUUUUCAUUUGUGCUCUCUCUGGAAUUACUAUUCUCAUCACUGAUUCCGACGUUCAAAGCUACAGAUUCCCGGGACCAAGGCGGACAGGGCCCCGUCAUCCGCGUUCGGCCGUCACCCGACACGACACGAGCCGGAGCAACGGAAGUCUGGCCGGUGACGGGAGGAUGACGUCACAGUCGAUCGGUGACAAUUCCAGCGUUGCCACUUCGCCCCGUCAUCGGGACAUCUCCACCUACAGCUGCCUCUAAAUUCGCGACCCGGUCUGUGAUAAUGAUCCGCUCGUGGAAUAAACAGUGCGAAACCGUUCCUUUUUCCGUUCUCCUUUGACUCUCGAUUAUUUUUUGUAGUAGAUUGUUUCUGGUGAAAAAAAAAAAAAAAAAUAGGAAAAAAAGUACGCGAUGCGAUAACGGGCUUCCGUCGAGAGGGCUGUGUAGAAAUUAGAAAUGUUAUCUCGGGUAGUUAGUUGCAUUAUAAAAAAUUAAGUGUUAUCGAAGGGUCCUCUCGACCGCGCGCAACCGCUCCGAAUUCACGGAUCUCGAUUUGUGCUCGCGCCCACUCGUGGGUCUAAUCUCCGCGGGUUCUCACCUAAAAAAAAAUAUUUGUUUACAGAAACGGUAAAUCGGUUCUCGACUCGAAGUGCGUCUGUUUGAAAGUCGGACGUGUACGUCCCGAUUCGCGAGUGAAGUGACCGUGAUUGCUGCGAUUCCGAGUGCUGUCGGAGUCGGUUUAUAUCUUUUUUAUCGUCGCAGCGAUCGCUACCGGGCGGCUCUGUGAAGUGAAUCUGGAGUUUACCUCCGCGUGGUGCGAUUUGUGCGGAUCGGGGAGUAUCGAUGAAGUGUCUCUCUGCUUCGACCGCAGCAGGAUCGAACGCGUAGGCAGAGGGAAUCACAACAUCCUGAUAUCGUUUUGGGUAAGUGUCGACCAUCAAGAAUUGGUGCAUUCCUUGCUCCUAUGAACAAUUUUCGGGGCGGCUAGGAUGUUCAUAAAGAGAGCCCACCCCCAAAUGAGCCUGCUUGUCAUUUUCUAAAUGUAGCCACAGUAUUGGUAUGUACUCAAAAAUUAGUUUUAUGCAAAAGCACGUACGUAUUUAUUAAUUUUUAAAAUAACCAUUUUGGUCGGAAAAUAAAAAAAAAAUCCAGCAAGUUAGCUUCAAAAGGACAUUGUG